rnacentral:rRNA from 1 species
AACGAACGCUGGCGGCAUGCCUAACACAUGCAAGUCGAACGAGACCUUCGGGUCUAGUGGCGCACGGGUGCGUAACGCGUGGGAACCUGCCCUUAGGUUCGGAAUAACUCCCCGAAAGGGGUGCUAAUACCGGAUAAUGUCUUCGGACCAAAGAUUUAUCGCCUUUGGAUGGGCCCGCGUUGGAUUAGCUAGUUGGUAGGGUAAAAGCCUACCAAGGCGACGAUCCAUAGCUGGUCUGAGAGGAUGAGCAGCCACACUGGGACUGAGACACGGCCCAGACUCCUACGGGAGGCAGCAGUGGGGAAUAUUGGACUAUGGGCGAAGGCCUGAUCCAGCAAUGCUGGGUGAGUGAUGAAGGCCGGAGGGUUGUAAAGCUCUUUUACCCGGGAUGAUAAUGACAGUACCGGGAGAAUAAGCUCCGGCUAACUCCGUG